UACAGAGGGGGCAAGCGUUAUUCGGAAUUAUUGGGCGUAAAGGGCGCGUAGGCGGCCUGGCAAGUGGAAGGUGAAAUCCCUCGGCUUAACCGAGGAACUGCCCUCCAAACUGCUUGGCUUGAGACCGGGAGAGGUGAGUGGAACUGCGAGUGUAGAGGUGAAAUUCGUAGAUAUUCGCAAGAACACCAGUGGCGAAGGCGGCUCACUGGCCCGAUACUGACGCUGAGGCACGAAAGCGUGGGGAGCAAACAGG
rnacentral:rRNA from 1 species